rnacentral:lncRNA from 1 species
UUUGGUUGGAGCUCCCUAUGUACCUGAGGCCUUUCAAAGUCACACCUUUUGAAAUACGUGGUCUUAGCAAAAUCCAUUUGAAAUGAAGUCUCAGAGCUGACAAGCAGUGAUUUAUCACAGAACAGAACUGAAAGAGGACAUACAGAAUUUGCAGGUGACUGAAGACGGUCAAGUUAUUGGUCCCACUGCAGACAGAAGCACACAACUCUGCUGUCUAUGAAACAUCGGCAUGGUACUCUUGUAAUGGAGGAAGGAUUGACUGAUAUUAGAACAUCUAAGAUGACAGGUCCAGAGAAGGAUUUGCCAAAGGAAUCUGGUGGUAACCAGUCAGGCUCAUACAGGGAAAUGACACAUGGAAAUAAAGCAGCCCUCCCCUUCUUCCCUCUCUUCCCUCUAGGAGUGAAUUACCUAUGAACGACAUUCUUGGGGCUUCCCAGAAAGCUUAGAGGAGCACAGAGUCAUCAGCAGGACGUUACAGUAACAAAUGAUGUAGAGAACUCUGAGUCUGAUCAGUUCUAAUGGAGUCCCACAGUGGUGCAGCAGACACAGAGUGCCCACAUCAGUUCUUCAUCAAGCAGAAUUCCUCCAAGAGCUUCAUGGCAGAGCCCCAAACCCACAGCCUUACAGGCUGGAACUGCUUCCAUCUUUUUCCUGUCUCUGAUUUCUGCAAUCAUCGUGUAUAGAUUGCCUAGACUGAAAAACAGCAAUGACAACAAAAAUCCCCCUUACUAACAACAAUAACCCCCUAUCCUCCUGUGAGUAAGGGAGUUUGGGGAACAGAGAUAACAAUCAGCCAGGCUGUGUCCUGGAGCUCCCUGCUGCAGGGACACAUCCACAUAAAGUUGCUGUUGC